GACGAACGCUGGCGGCGCGCCUAACACAUGCAAGUCGAACGAGCGAGAGAGAGCUUGCUUUCUUGAGCGAGUGGCGAACGGGUGAGUAACGCGUGAGGAACCUGCCUCAAAGAGGGGGACAACAGUUGGAAACGACUGCUAAUACCGCAUAAGCCCACGACCCGGCAUCGGGUUGAGGGAAAAGGAGCAAUCCGCUUUGAGAUGGCCUCGCGUCCGAUUAGCUAGUUGGUGAGGUAACGGCCCACCAAGGCGACGAUCGGUAGCCGGACUGAGAGGUUGAACGGCCACAGUGGGACUGAGACACGGCCCAGACUCCUACGGGAGGCAGCAGUGGGGAAUAUUGCACAAUGGGGGAAAACCUGAUGCAGCGACGCCGCGUGGAGGAAGAAGGUCUUCGGAUUGUAAACUCCUGUUGUUGAGGAAGAUAAUGACGGUACUCAACAAGGAAGUGACGGCUAACUACGUG
rnacentral:rRNA from 1 species